rnacentral:rRNA from 1 species
UACAGAGGUCCCAAGCGUUGUUCGGAUUCACUGGGCGUAAAGGGUGCGUAGGUGGUGAGGUAAGUCGGAUGUGAAAGCUCGGAGCUCAACUCCGAAAUGGCAUUGGAAACUACCUUGCUCGAGGGUUGGAGGGGGGACUGGAAUACUUGGUGUAGCAGUGAAAUGCGUAGAUAUCAAGUGGAACACCAGUGGCGAAGGCGAGUCCCUGGGCCGAUACUGACGCUGAGGAGCGAAAGCGUGGGGUAGCAAACAGG